UUCUUCGGAGAGUUUGAUCAUGGCUCAGGACGAACGCUGGCGGCGUGCCUUAGACAUGCAAGUCGAACGGAGUAGCAAUACUCAGUGGCGAACGGCGGAGUAAUGCAUAAGCAACGUGCCCCAAAGACUGGGAUAGUCGAGGGAAACCACGGGUAAUACCAGAUGUGGUCCUUAGAUGGCAUCAUCGAGGGAUUAAAUCGAGCAAUCGGCUUUGGGAGCGGCUUAUGUCCUAUCAGCUUGUUGGUGAGGUAACGGCUCACCAAGGCUACGACGGGUAGGGGGUCUGAGAGGAUGAUCCCCC
rnacentral:rRNA from 1 species